GAUGAAGAACGUAGCGAAAUGCGAUACGUAAUGUGAAUUGCAGAAUUCAGUGAAUCAUCGAGUCUUUGAACGCACAUUGCGCCCCCUGGUAUUCCGGGGGGCAUGCCUGUCCGAGCGUCAUUGCUGCCCUCAAGCACGGCUUGUGUGUUGGGCCCCGCCCCCCGGCUCCCGGGGGGCGGGCCCGAAAGGCAGCGGCGGCACCGCGUCCGGUCCUCGAGCGUAUGGGGCUUCGUCACCCGCUCCGUAGGCCCGGCCGGCGCCCGCCGGCGACCCCCCUCAAUCUUUUCACGUUGACCUCGGAUCAGGUAGGGAUACCCGCUGAACUUAAGAAUAUCAAUAAGCGGAGGA
rnacentral:misc_RNA from 1 species